rnacentral:lncRNA from 1 species
GCCGAAGCCCCCGAUGGAGAGGAAGACGAGGAUGUUCUUGGACUGGCAGUGCUUGAUGUCGGCGCCGACGGCGGAGACGUCGUGGCCGGACAGGUCGAGGUGGUAGUUGCCGCGGCCGAAGACGUCGAGGAAGGAGAUGAUGGCGAUGGUGUAGGUGCCGGUGUCGCAGGCCUCGCGGAGGGACCCCUCGUUCUUGUUCCUACCCCAGAACACGGCCACCUGGCCGGUC